UGUCAUCAGAGCCACCAUCGUGCAGUGCCAGUUCAUUCAGAAGCUGCGUCUAUGACAUCAUGUGCAAGCCAUCCUGAAGUGACCUUUUGUGUACCAUGCAACAACAAAAAAAGUGAGAGAUGUCAUGGAGACAAUGAAGGGUUUGACUGGCACUGUAGCUGGUAUCAUACCCCUCCAUCUGAUUUGAGGUAGCCAAAGAAGAAACUGUGCAAUGUUCCCACUGCGGGUGACUUUUGACAAUAUUUAUGUGCAUAUCUUCCAUGUUAAAAUUGUUUAAAACUGAGACGUGCUACUUUUUUAUAUCACCUGACGUUACCUUUUGUGUAGAGUUUGACCUCUACUAAUUGCCAUUAUCAUACCCCUCCAUCUGAUUUGAGGUAGUCAAAGAAGAAACUGCGCAAUGUUCCCACUGCGGGUGACUUUUGACAACAUUUAUGUGCAUAUUUUCCAUCUUAAAAUUGUGUAAACUAAGACUUGUGUUGCCUUUUAUAACGUCUGAAAUUACUUUUUGUGUACCACGCAACAAGAAAGAAAAAGCAAAGUGAGGAGUGUGUUGUCGACAUUCAAAGACAAAUUCAGGAUAAGAUGAAAGCUUGCAGAGAUUAAAAAAAUCCUUGAAAAGGCAUGUUGCUGGAGCCAACAUUUCGACAGGUGGACUUGUUAUCAUCAAGGCUGCCCUGACAAAGCAGGCCCGUUUGUCGAAAUGUUGGCUCCAGUGACAUUCCCAGGCCAAGGACUUUUUCAUCUCAUAGAAACGCACAAGAUGUUGAGUAGCGCCUUUGCUGAUAUCAUACAUAGUCCUUCUAUAUGUCAUCAGAGGCAGCCAAAGAACAAAAAUAUGUAACUUUCGUGUGAGUAUUGUGCAUUUCAGAAUUUUUCGUAACCUCUAAAUGUCUGACAUUAAUUUUGGCAACAUGGAAAUAAAAAAUUGAAACACGACGCCCCCCCCCCCUUUUUUUUCACUCCAAUGUGCACUAUGAAAGGCAACGGUUCACUUGCGAAGUUCGCAGGGAAUUCUAAGUGGAGGAUAUACCGUCAGGUUCUGACUGAGUUAAACGAAGUAACAGCGCAAAUGCCGGUCAAACCACAACCGGACGACUUGUGCCGUCGUAGUAGUCACAGCCUGUUUUCAGAGGAGGCUAUACCAUGGAUAAGUAAAACUACCGGCAAAUAAUUGUCUUCGCGCUAAGUGCCGGCGCUCGUCGCUUGACGGCCUGCCGCUCGCGAAAGCAAACUGCAUGCCGGUCAAGCCACAACCGGACGACUUGUGCCGUCGUAGUAGUCACAGCUGCCUGUUUUCAGGGGAGGCUAUACCAUGGAUAAGUAAAACUACCGGCAAAUAAUUGUCUCCGCGCUAAGUGCCGGCGCUCGUCGCUUGACGGCCGGCCGCUCGCGAAAGCAAACUGCCGGUCAAACCACAACCAGACAACUCUGUUGCCGUCACGGCGUGCGUUUUCA